GACGGAGCGAGAGGCUGUGCGUGGCCGGCAGGAGAUGCCCGCGUCCAGAGGCCCGCUGUGCCGGCAGGGUCCCGGGGCGCAGGGGGUCGUGGCCGGGCCUGGGCUGGGUGGCGUGAGUGACCGUGCUGGGCUCGGCCAGGGCCGUGUGAACCGGCCUCCAGGCUCUGCUCCCGGCUCUUUGAAGCCCUUCCAGGUGGCCCGGCUCGGGACGCCCCGUGAGGACCUUCACAUUUCCAGUUCAUCCAGAUCCACCAGGCAAAGUCAAACUGUCCAGUUCCCCCGGGGCCUCUGGCCCAGCCGCCCAGGGAGGCCUCCGUGGGAAGGCGCCUCUGGACGAGUCUCUGAGCCCGACCGAGCUUCCUGCCUCCCGUGGGGCCAGGCCUCCCUCUCACGGUCUUCCCACUCGGGGCCACACAGAGGCUGCAGCUCCCAGGCCAGCCCUCACCCACCAAGUGGCCAGGGUGGGGACAGUGGCCGCGUCUGGCUAUGUAGGGGCCCAGCCACAGUAAGGUGGGUGGGACGGCAAAUGGUAGCAUUGGGGCUUCCAGGGACCGCAGCCUCUGGGUGGGAGAUGGCAAAGGGCAUGUCCAGGUGGAGAGGGAGGGGGCCUGGCGUGCGUGCGUGUGUGUGCAUGUGUGUGUGUGGCCGGGCUGGGGGUAUGGAGAGGUGACGGUGGGCUGACGCCCAGGGUGGGGUGGGCAGGCCCAGGGACGUGCCGCCUGCUUGGUGAGCCAAUGGCCAGAUGGGUGAGGUGUCAAGGGAGCAUGUUCCAGACGGCAAGUCCCUCACGUCCUUGGAAUUGAAGACCUUCACACUGGACCCCUCAUGAUGGGGAGGCUGAGACCCUGGAAGGAAGGUGGAAGCCCUGGCCACACUGCUGGGAGAGGACCCCUCGGCUCCCACACCCAGAGACCCCUUGAGGAGGGUCCUCGGGUCCCUCGUGGUGCGUACCCUGGGGCCUGACGCACAGUGUUUGUGCUGGGAACACCGAGGAGGGGCCCUGCUGUCCAGGUCUUUACGAUGCCAGGGUUUGCUGAGCACCAGAGUUUGCUAAGCACUGUGCCGGCCAGGGGAUGCUGCCGUGAGCAGGGCGGGAGCUGCCUGCAUGCUGCUUUGGGCAACUCGGCCUCGUCCCCCUCAGCUCACGUCUGCGAGUUGGGUCGGCCGCCCCCGGCUCAGUGUCGUGGGAGGAUCACACCCGGGCACGCCCACCUUCCCCGUCAGGGCCUUCACCCAGGAGCGAUGUCCGUGGUGGCCCCAAAAAGAUACGUCCCGGCCCCCGGCACCUGUGACUGUGACCUUAUUUGGAGAAAAGGGUCUUUGCAGAUGUAAUCAAGGGAUCGCAAGAUGCGAUCCUCUUGGAAUCUCCGCGUGGGCCCUAAAUCCAGGGACAGGUGUCCUUACAAGACACAGAAGAGGAGAGGACAUGGAGAUGAGGAGGAGCAGGUCGUGUGAAGACGAGGCAGAGACGGGAGUGGUGCGGCCGCCGCCAGGCUUCCCUGAUGGCUGGGACGUCUGUGGCCUGUGAGCUGGACAGUCUGGAAGCGAGCAUCUUCAGCAGCUGUGCCUGACCCCGGGCUCCAGAAGUUUCCCGAGUCUGCAGGAAUUGCCAGGAGACGCAGAGCAACCCCUUUAAUCAGGCUCCGUGAACUCUUUAACCCAAAGCUCUGUGUGUGGGCGCGUGGCCAUUUUCUUGGUCACUUAGAGGCAGGAUAAGGCCAGUGCCAACCCAGAGCCGAGAUGUGGUGACGGGGCCACAGCAUCUCUGUUUACAGGAAUCUCUGACCUGGGCUCCCCGAACAGCAGUCACUCCCUUCGGAGUCUCAAAUCAGUCGAUCCGUUAACGUCGGGAGGGCUUCUCUGAGCUGCGAGGAGUUGGGGUAACCUGGUCAAGAGAGUGGAGAAGAGCUAUCCUGGCAGGCGGAACAGAAGGUACAAAGCCUCUGAGGCAGGAAGGUCUUGGUGACUCUGGAAGGGACCUCAAGGUCGAGAUGGGCCCUCGGAGGCUUUAGAUGCCGAAGCAGUUUCGUUUGGCCGAGUCAGCUGAAGGAGCACGUGGGCCUGUAAUGGGGGGAGUGCGUGUGCUGGGGGCCGGUUCACACGCCCGGGACUCCUGUGGGCAGCACGGCUCAGCUUCCCCUGUCUGUUAAUGGUACAAUCUGUUCAGACCUUUGGAACAUUCCUCAGCUUUUAUUUAAUGUGGGAAGAAUCAUUUCUGGAAUUAGCAUAUAAAUUGGCACAAGUCAGCAACUCGGGCAGAAAGCGCGUUCCCAGGUGUCAGGCUGGACGGCGGGGACGAUGACCCAGUGCUCCAGGCUCUGGCUCCUUCCGUCUUCCUUCAAGGGAUUAUGACGCGCGGAGGGAAAAUUUUCCAGCAGGGAUGUCUCCCCACGGGCCUGCCUUCUAGAACGAGGUGAUGGAGAGGGAGCCCCAGAAGUGUCCGCUCCCUAGCUGUCAUGUCUGGUCUGGCCGGGGGCAGAUACUUUACACGUUUUAUGGCCCCAUUAGUUCUGGGUCUUUU
rnacentral:lncRNA from 1 species